AGGACUAUAGCUCAGUUGGUUAGAGCGCUACCUUGACAUGGUAGAGGUCCCCAGUUCGAAUCUGGGUAGUCCUACCA
rnacentral:tRNA from 51 species